rnacentral:rRNA from 1 species
UACAGAGGUGGCAAGCGUUGUUCGGAAUUACUGGGCGUAAAGGGCACGUAGGCGGCCCGUCAAGUCCCGUGUGAAAGCCCCCGGCUCAACCGGGGAACGGCGCGGGAAACUAGCAGGCUUGAGUUCGGGAGAGGGAAGCGGAAUUCCGGGUGUAGCGGUGAAAUGCGCAGAUAUCCGGAGGAACACCGGUGGCGAAGGCGGCUUCCUGGACCGACACUGACGCUGAGGCGCGAAAGCUAGGGGAGCAAACGGG